CAUACUUCUGCGAUCCUGAGUUUUGGGGUGUCCUGGAACUCUGGCUUGGCCUCUCUGAGUGUCUCCAUCUCUCAGUGUCUCUGAGGCCCUGUCUCUACGUGGAUGUCUCUCAUCCCGGGAUGCUGAAGUUUGAAAAGCCUCCACCCCCACCUCCAGCCUUGAGAGAGGGAAGGAAUUGGAAGGGCGUGGAUGGGAUAAGGACUCGGUGUUCUGAGACCCAAGCGCUCCACCGUGCCCACUAAGCCUUCCCAUUGGAAACAGGUUUACCCAGAUGAAUCCCGUGCUGACUUCUGAAAUGGACCUGAAUCUUCAGCAGCCCAACACCAAGCUCUGGAGAGUUCGGGGCCCGGUCAUCGCCCCUGGAUGUAUUGGUGAUGCAGCUUCUUCCAUUGGGCCCCUCUCUGCCCUGACAGGCUCUCAGAGGUCACAGCAGGGCCCAGGGCCCCGGAAGAUGGAGUUACAAAUACGAGGCUAUCUGCGGCCAGAACAGGAGAGUUGGCCUGUUCUCCCAAUUCCUUCCAUCCCCUCUCCUGCUCCCUGACUCUUCCCCCCACCUGGUUUUUCAGGGCAAGGCAUUCAUUUGCCUGCCUCUCCUGUGGUCCCUUUCUUGCACCCACGAUAAGGAGCCUGCCCGUCAGCUGAGUGAUUGUAUUUUUUUACAGUUCCUAGCACAAACCUUCUCAUUUAUAUGUAAAGCAGCCAUUAGUCAUAGCUCCGUUCCCACACACUGCCUGAUGUACAAUCACAUUUUGCAGCGGAUGAAUCUUUCCACACAGCUGCUCUGCUAUGAAUAAUCCGUCUCCAGGCCCAUAAAUCAGAAAAAAAUCA